rnacentral:rRNA from 1 species
AUUGAACGCUGGCGGCAGGCCUAACACAUGCAAGUCGAGCGGGGUUUUCGGACCUAGCGGCGGACGGGUGAGUAAUGCGUAGGAAGCUACCCGAUAGAGGGGGAUACCAGUUGGAAACGACUGUCAAUACCGCAUAAUGUCUACGGACCAAAGUGUGGGACCUUCGGGCCACAUGCUAUCGGAUGCGCCUACGUGGGAUUAGCUAGUUGGUGAGGUAAUGGCUCACCAAGGCGACGAUCCCUAGCUGGUUUGAGAGGAUGAUCAGCCACACUGGAACUGAGACACGGUCCAGACUCCUACGGGAGGCAGCAGUGGGGAAUAUUGGACAAUGGGCGCAAGCCUGAUCCAGCCAUGCCGCGUGUGUGAAGAAGGCCUUCGGGUUGUAAAGCACUUUCAGUAGGGAGGAAGCGUUGUGUGUUAAUAGUACACAGCGUUGACGUUACCUACAGAAGAAGCACCGGCUAACUCUGUGCCAGCCGCCGCAGUAAGAC